CGCAUCUGUGCAUGCAGCAUAUCAAUAAGCGGAGGAAAAGAAACUAACAAGGAUCCCCCUAGUAACGGCGAGUGAAGCGGGAAGAGCUCAAAUUUGAAAUCUUAAAGGGUUUCCCUUUACGAAUUGUAGUUUAAAGAAGUGUUUUCUGUUGAGGUUUUGGUAAAAGUUCUUUGGAAUAGGACAUCAUAGAGGGUGAGAAUCCCGUAUUUGACCUUUACUUUCAACUUUGUGAUACACUUUCAAAGAGUCGGAUUGUUUGGGAAUGCAGUCCAAAAUGGGUGGUAAAUUUCAUCUAAAGCUAAAUAUUGGCGAGAGACCGAUAGCGAACAAGUACCGUGAGGGAAAGAUGAGAAGAACUUUGAAAAGAGAGUUAAACAGUACGUGAAAUUGUCAAAAGGGAAGCGUUUGACACCAGUGUUGUUUUUCUGAAAAUCAAUUAAAGAACUGUUUAUGCUAAGUUGUUUAGACUUUAUCAGCUAUCUGCUUAGUUUUGAGCUUUUCUUUAAUGCACUUUUCAGUUAACAAGUCAACAUCAAUUUCUUUUGCUGUAAAAAAGCUUGAGGAAGGUGGCUUGAGAUUCGUCUUAAGUGUUUAUAGCCUCUUGCCUAUGCAGUCGGAGAGAUUGAGGUCUGCAGCGUAGAUCCUUCGGGGCUAAAUGCAUUUGUGCUAAGUUAUAGCAUUUUAUAGACAACUUGUUGACUAUGAUUUGUCUUGUAGCUUACUCGCUUAUGUUAUUUUACCUACGCUUAGGAUGUUGACUGAUAUGUAGUCGU
rnacentral:rRNA from 1 species